CCCACAACAACAACAACAGACGAGAACAAAAAGACGAAGCGUGUGAAUAAAAAGACACAAUUUCUAAAAGAUUAGUGAAGCUUCCUGUGCAAUCCAUAGCCACCAAGGGAGAUGGAUCAGUAAAAUGAUAUGCACUUUGAUGUCUCAAACAAGAAUUUCAGUUAGCUUGUUACCUUCAUUUCGAAAACAGACAUAAUAGACUGACUCUAAUCUCAUAAAACAACUACUAAUUGGCUCAGUUUGACAAAAUAUCUCAAUCUUGAAUCUCUCUUUUUGCACAGUAAAAAUUGCACUUCAAUCCAAACAUACCCCCUUAAUCUUAAACCCUCCUAGUUUCCACUUUCCUAUUUACCCCGAUCCAGAUGGUGGAACAAACUAUCAAACAUGAUCAGCAGUAUAGGCUCCAUUAGCAGAUUACAGCAUUAAUUCCAAAGUAUAAUUGAGGAAACCCUCUUCUAUACCAUACACAUAAUGUCAAGAAAAUCCUCAAAAUUAUUUGCUUAAUUAUGGAAGGUAAAGGUAAAGACUUAACACCAACAAAGAUCAUGUUGUAGCACAACUUAGCAUGAUACGAUCAAACACAAGAAAAAAGUCAUCUAGAAAUAUCCAUCAACGAUCUACCUUUACACACCAUAAAUCCCUAUAAUUUCCAACCAAAAUACAAAACAAGGGAAAAUAAGUUCAAUUGUCGAGAUAAAUGAAGUAAGAUAAAGAGAUUGUGUUCUUACCAAUAAAGCAAAAGGGUUGAAAAACAAUUAGCAGUUCAGACUUUUAGAAGUUCAGACUUUCAAGCUUCAACGGAGAAUUCCAGAUAAAGAAACAGAGGAAAAAAAGAGAAGAAAAUAGGUUUCUUUUGUAGAGGUAAACAGGAGCAAGUGGUUGAGCUGAGAGAGAGGAAAUGGUGGAGCAGAUUUAUACAACAAAUUUGGAACAGAGGACUUUCUCCUUUCUAACCUAUGCCGACGUGGCUGAUUUUGUAUGGUCUGUCUCUCUCAUAGUCUAUUUAUUUCUACAUUUAAUGGAAUCUUCAAUUUGCUGCCUAAUUAUUUGUUUUUUCUUAGUUGAUACAUCAAGCCAAUCUAGCUCUUUUUUUACUUUUUUUUCUUCUUAAAAAGAGAUUUUUGUUAUUACAAAGGGAAGAAUAAAUGAGAGAGAAAAGGAGAACCUUGAGAAUUGAAUUACAGUUAAAAUUUUCAAUAGUGCUGGUGAGUUAUAAAUCUUGGUAGUGGUAACCUAGCCACCUAGCUAUCCAAUACAUGUUUCUAGCUUGUCUAAAAAAUUACGCCGUAAAUUUAAUUUGUGAUAGCAGAUUAAUUAUUAUUUUUAUCAAGUUACUAAUUAAUAGUUGUCAUAAGAGAAUAUCCGUAAUUAAAUUAUAAAUGACACAAUUGAAUCUUAUAAACAUUUUCUAUUCCAUCAAUACAAAGUAGUACUGUAGUAGUACAAUUUCACGUGCUUGAUUAAUAUUGUUUCUUUUUGUAUUUUUUGUCAUGGAUUGGAGCACAAGUAGUUGGUCACUUGUAAGUGUUUGGUGAAUUUAUUCUCAAGUAAUGAAGCCAACCAUAACAGUAUUAGUAAUGGGACAAAGAAAGAGGAUGUGAACUUCUAUUUAUUAAUGUAACAAAAAAACCUAGUUUGAUCCCAACAAGUAGGGUCUGGGGAGGGUAAUCUGUACGCAGACCUUACCCCUACCUAAUACAGAUAGAGAGGUUAUUUUCAAUAAAUUCUCAGCUCAAGGAGGGCAAAAAAAAGAAGAGGAAAGCAAUGGAGGAAGAAAGAUGGAAGAUAAAAGAAAGAGAGAGAUAAAUGAUAAGUGGUACUAAAUAAUAGCAACACCGGAAUACAAUACGUGAGGCGAACAAAAGCACAUAACAUAAUAAAAAUCUAAGAAUAUAAACGGACAUGCAUGCUACUAAGACUAUCAGUGAACAACUAUAGAUUACAUACUAACUUUCUACAUUAAUCCUCGACCUCCAUAUUCUCCUAUCAAGAGUCAUGUCUCAAGUGAGGUGAAGCAUAGUCAUAUCCUGCCUAAUUAUAUCUCCCCUAUACCUCUUAGGCCUACGUAUUCGAUUUACUUUUUUAAAAAAAAAAAUCGAUCGCUCACUGUCAUAGUUAUUUAAAAUUGUAUUGGUGUAAUGGUGUUAGAUUCAUUAGGUAAACUUAUAAACUAGUGUACUCACGAUCAUGGGCGUAAUGAGAUCUUUACUUAAAUAGUAAGUCGGAUGCUUUGUUUAUUUUUCCUAAUUGAUAUAUAAUUCAAGUGAUUGGGUGGGCGAUUAUUUGAAUUAAUUCUCCUUUCUAUUUUAUGGGUGGGUGUUCUAUAUAAUGCAUGCAUACGUAUAAAAAAAAAUUUGAAGUAUAUAAUCUCAUUUCAAGUAUCGCCUUGAGUCUUGUUUCUCAUUUACUCACAACGGAGGGUCUCGCUUGAAAUAUUCUUUUUUUAUACCCAAAAGGGUAUAUAUAUAUAUAUCUAUCAAACAUGAUCAGCAGUAUAGGCUCCAUUAGCAGAUUACAGCAUUAAUUCCAAAGUAUAAUUGAGGAAACCCUCUUCUAUACCAUACACAUAAUGUCAAGAAAAUCCUCAAAAUUAUUUGCUUAAUUAUGGAAGGUAAAGGUAAAGACUUAACACCAACAAAGAUCAUGUUGUAGCACAACUUAGCAUGAUACGAUCAAACACAAGAAAAAAGUCAUCUAGAAAUAUCCAUCAACGAUCUACCUUUACACACCAUAAAUCCCUAUAAUUUCCAAC
rnacentral:lncRNA from 1 species